AGUCGAACGAGCAAGAGAGAGCUUGCUUUCUCGAGCGAGUGGCGAACGGGUGAGUAACGCGUGAGGAACCUGCCUCAAAGAGGGGGACAACAGUUGGAAACGACUGCUAAUACCGCAUAAGCCCACGGUGCCGCAUGGCACAGAGGGAAAAGGAGCAAUCCGCUUUGAGAUGGCCUCGCGUCCGAUUAGCUAGUUGGUGAGGUAACGGCCCACCAAGGCAACGAUCGGUAGCCGGACUGAGAGGUUGAACGGCCACAUUGGGACUGAGACACGGCCCAGACUCCUACGGGAGGCAGCAGUGGGGAAUAUUGCACAAUGGGGGAAACCCUGAUGCAGCGACGCCGCGUGGAGGAAGAAGGUCUUCGGAUUGUAAACUCCUGUUGUUGGGGAAGAUAAUGACGGUACCCAACAAGGAAGUGACGGCUAACUACGUGCCAGCAGCCGCGGUAAAACGUAGGUCACAAGCGUUGUCCGGAAUUACUGGGUGUAAAGGGAGCGCAGGCGGGAAGACAAGUUGGAAGUGAAAUCUAUGGGCUCAACCCAUAAACUGCUUUCAAAACUGUUUUUCUUGAGUAGUGCAGAGGUAGGCGGAAUUCCCGGUGUAGCGGUGGAAUGCGUAGAUAUCGGGAGGAACACCAGUGGCGAAGGCGGCCUACUGGGCACCAACUGACGCUGAGGCUCGAAAGUGUGGGUAGCAAACAGGAUUAGAUACCCUGGUAGUCCACACCGUAAACGAUGAUUACUAGGUGUUGGAGGAUUGACCCCUUCAGUGCCGCAGUUAACACAAUAAGUAAUCCACCUGGGGAGUACGACCGCA
rnacentral:rRNA from 1 species